UGAACGCGGCUUUGCGUGGCGCAGGCACGUGAUCAAUGCGACCCCUAGAGCCAUCUGGCGGAGUUUCUUGGAACUCGCUAUCUAUUCUAUUUUCAGUCCGCGUUUGGAGCUACGAACUGUGAUUAGCAAAGUGUAUUGCCAUCUUGGUUUUUCAGUUUUUCACCUAGGCAAAAAUGGAGUUUAAAUUCGCUAAUUUUGGAUUAUCCAGCAUGUUAUUCAUUGUGGUGGUAGCCCAGCUCCUAUUCGUAGCAGCAGAGCCUGUUGAAUACACGGGCCAGAAUGUGGUGAUGGAAGGCGAGGGGUUCUCGAUCUCAUGUAAGCUGACUCAGUUUGACGCUCUAAAGUGGCUCAAAGACAACCAACAAAUUGACGAGCUGCAGCAUACUAUCGCCGAUUCAAGAAACCAGUAUGUCUUUGAGGACCGCGAGGAAAACGGCCUGAUCGUUGCAACUAUUUCAGUCAAAUCAGCGUUGUCCAAUCACUCGGGCACGUACCGCUGCUCAUCUCUGUCAAACGAGUCGCAUAACCUUUUCGUCCUUGGUGAUAAUGAAGUAAAAGGAGAAAAGAAAAUGCUGACUUUCAAGCAGGGCACCAAUGUAGAACUUGACUGCUCUAAGGACCCUAUUGCUAAUGGAGUUUAUGUUUGGUAAGUUAAACCAUGUUACUACAUUGACACACUUGGAUUGCAUUUUGCAAAAGGAACCAGAAGAAUUGCGAUGGUGCUAAGAUUGUGCAUUUUCAUCAUUUGCAAUUAGAUUACUGAAACCAUUACAAAAUAUGAAAUUUACAUCGUACUUUUGUCUUAAAUUUACAGUUUUUAGCUAGUAAAAUAGAAACUUUUCAUGGAUAAUCAAGUUUUUCUUCCAAGACAAAAGAAGUUGCACAAUCUUAGCAACAUUGCAAUGCUGCUGGUUCCUUUUUGCAAAAUGCAAUCCACUUGAACAAAUUAAUUAAUUUAUUCCGGUGGAAGAAAUAGGGAGAAAAACGUGAAGAAAAAGUUUUAAGUAGGUAUCACAGGGUUGCCUGGUCAGGGAAUAC
rnacentral:lncRNA from 1 species